rnacentral:tRNA from 1 species
CGGGGCGUAGCUCAGCCUGGUAGAGCGCUUGUCUCGGGUGCAAGAGGCCGCAGGUUCAAAUCCUGUCGCCCCGACCA